UACGUAGGGUGCGAGCGUUGUCCGGAAUUAUUGGGCGUAAAGGGCUCGUAGGCGGUCUGUCGCGUCGGGAGUGAAAACUCAGGGCUUAACCCUGAGCCUGCUUCCGAUACGGGCAGACUAGAGGUAUGCAGGGGAGAACGGAAUUCCUGGUGUAGCGGUGAAAUGCGCAGAUAUCAGGAGGAAUACCGGUGGCGAAAGCGACUCUCUGGACGGCAACUGACGCUGAGGCACGAAAGCGUGGGGAGCAAACAGG
rnacentral:rRNA from 1 species